UACGGAGGGGGCUAGCGUUGUUCGGAAUUACUGGGCGUAAAGCGCACGUAGGCGGACCGGAAAGUCAGAGGUGAAAUCCCAGGGCUCAACCCUGGAACUGCCUUUGAAACUCCCGGUCUUGAGUUCGAGAGAGGUGAGUGGAAUUCCGAGUGUAGAGGUGAAAUUCGUAGAUAUUCGGAAGAACACCAGUGGCGAAGGCGGCUCACUGGCUCGGUACUGACGCUGAGGUGCGAAAGCGUGGGGAGCAAACAGG
rnacentral:rRNA from 1 species